GAUGAAGAACGUAGCGAAAUGCGAUAAGUAGUGUGAAUUGCAGAAUUCAGUGAAUCAUCGAAUCUUUGAACGCACAUUGCGCCCUAUGGUAUUCCUUAGGGCAUGCCUGUUCGAGCGUCAUUUAAACCUUCAAGCUAAGCUUGGUGUUGGGUGACUGUCCGCUUCACGGCGGACUCGCCUCAAAAUUAUUGGCGGCCGGUACAUUGGCUUCGAGCGCAGCAGAAACGCGAACUCGGGCCCGUCGUAUUGGCUCCCAGAAGCUAUCUUCACAAUUUUGACCUCGGAUCAGGUAGGGAUACCCGCUGAACUUAAGCAUAUCAAUAAGCGGAGGA
rnacentral:misc_RNA from 1 species